AUUGAACGCUGGCGGCAGGCCUAACACAUGCAAGUCGAGCGGAUGAAGGGAGCUUGCUCCUGGAUUCAGCGGCGGACGGGUGAGUAAUGCCUAGGAAUCUGCCUGGUAGUGGGGGAUAACGUCCGGAAACGGGCGCUAAUACCGCAUACGUCCUGAGGGAGAAAGUGGGGGAUCUUCGGACCUCACGCUAUCAGAUGAGCCUAGGUCGGAUUAGCUAGUUGGUGGGGUAAAGGCCUACCAAGGCGACGAUCCGUAACUGGUCUGAGAGGAUGAUCAGUCACACUGGAACUGAGACACGGUCCAGACUCCUACGGGAGGGCGCAGUGGGGAAUAUUGGGCCAUGGGCGAAAACCUGAUCCAACCAUGCCGCGUGUGUGAAGAAGGUCGUCGGAUUGUAAAGCACUUUAAGUUGGGAGGAAGGGCAGUAAGUUAAUACCUUGCUGUUUUGACGUUACCAACAGAAUAAGCACCGGCUAACUUCGUG
rnacentral:rRNA from 1 species